ACAGUGGACGCGAGCAUCUGUGGCCAAGUUUUUAAGGGCGCACGGUGGAUGCCUUGGCACCAGGAA
rnacentral:rRNA from 1 species